CGCCCGGGCGCCGUGAGGGCGGGACCGGGGGAGCCCUCAGAGCGGCUCGCGGGCCCGGCAGCGUCGUUGUCCGAACGCUGCUGGAACUCUGUCAGCCUCGGGGCUGUGAGCACUGCCUGCGGGAGGUCUGUGCGCGACCACCCUCCGGGUGAAAGCCUUUUCCUGUUGCCCAGCCCUGCCCCAGCCGUUCCUCGGGCCCUGUCCCUGGCCAGAGCAGAGAUCAGUGCCUGCCCCUCGGCAGUCCGCAGCGAGUUCCCGUCAGUCUCCAGCUGUGGCUGAGGGACGGCUGCCACCGCCCGGGAGCGCGGCGGGGUCGGGCCGUGCAGCGGCAGCCCUCGGCUGGAGGUGAUUAACGCCAAUUAGCUGCUGGCCCUGCGCUCGGUACCGCCCUCCCCCACUGCCCGGUGCCGCUCGUCGCAGGACUGACCCGAGAGCUCCAGUCCUGGGUCGCGCCCCGCGGGACGGAAAAAGUCAAACCCGCUCGCUGAGCUGUGUGUGCAGGGCUGCAGUGCCGAGGAGCCCAAGGAGGCGCAAGAUGAGUGUCAAAAGCACGGGCGGAACCUCCUGCAUGAGGGAAAAGAGCACAGUUCAUAAAAAUAAUUUGGCUCCUGCCUUGGACAACAGUGAGAUGAAACUUAAAGAUCAACAUGUUACAGAGUAGCAGUUUCCAGAUAUGUGGAUAAGAGGUAGGUGCUCUAUAACAUUCUGCUUCACUUCUGAUAUUUCUAUCACCUCCUCUUUAAAGCCAUUCUGUUGCACACAGUUGUCCCACUGCAAUGAUAGCUGAGUCGCACAGUCUUUGCAUAUCAUGAGGUAAGUUACUGAUCUGAAAGUGACUCUCACACAGUCUGUGUCCCUGUGUUCUCCCUUCCCAAGCUUCCUGACCAACUUCAGGUACAGCUCAUGAUGCUGUAGUGAAUUAGUUUUUAAGCAGACUUUUGCUUCACAUCCCCUAACACACCCCUCUGGUGUUUUGUCUUUUUCCGAAUAAAUGCACCGUUGUUGAAAAGAAGCCA
rnacentral:lncRNA from 1 species